UACGAAGGGGGCUAGCGUUGUUCGGAAUUACUGGGCGUAAAGCGCACGUAGGCGGAUUUGUAAGUCAGGGGUGAGAUCCCGGGGCUCAACCUCGGAACUGCCUUUGAUACUGCAAGUCUCGAGUCCGAUAGAGGUGAGUGGAAUUCCUAGUGUAGAGGUGAAAUUCGUAGAUAUUAGGAAGAACACCGGUGGCGAAGGCGGCCCACUGGAUCGGUACUGACGCUGAGGUGCGAAAGCGUGGGGAGCAAACAGG
rnacentral:rRNA from 1 species